rnacentral:tRNA from 1 species
GCGCCAAUAGCUCAGCUGGAUAGAGCAACUGCCUUCUAAGCAGUAGGUCGAAGGUUCGAGUCCCUCUUGGCGCGCCA